rnacentral:rRNA from 1 species
UACGGAGGGUGCGAGCGUUAAUCGGAAUUACUGGGCGUAAAGCGCACGCAGGCGGUUUGUUAAGUCAGAUGUGAAAUCCCCGGGCUCAACUUGGGAACUGCAUUUGAUACUGGCAAUCUUGAGUAUCGUAGAGGGGGGUAGAAUUCCAGGUGUAGCGGUGAAAUGCGUAGAGAUCUGGAGGAAUACCGAUGGCGAAGGCAGCCCCCUGGACUAAAACUGACGCUCAUGUGCGAAAGCGUGGGGAGCAAACAGG